AUCAAUUUUCAGUCAUUAUGUUGUGGCUGUGUAUACUUAGAAUUUUCAUGAUUUUUUUUAUGCACUGAUUUAAUAAGUUGCUGCAUAUAUAACACACACAGCCCACUUUAUUAGAUCCAACUGUUCAACAGCUUAAAACAACACAAAUGGCUAAUCACAUGGGAAAAAUUCAAUGUAUUUAGCCAAGUAGACAUGGUUAAGAGGACUUGCUAAAUUUCAAAGCGAAAAAAGGAGGUUUAAGUGACUUUAAAUGUAGCAUGGUUGUUGGUACCAGACAGGCUGGGCUGCCAGAGACUGCUGAUCUACUGGGAUUUUCACACAGCCAUCUCUGGGGUUUACAGAGAAUGGUCCAAAGAGAAAAUAUCCAGUGAGUGACAGCUGUCUGGACAAAAAUACCUUGUUGAUGUCAGGAGAGUGGGCUGACUGGUUACAGACGAUAAAAAGGCAACAGUAACUCAAAUAACCCCGGAUUACACCCAUGGUAUGCAGAAUGCCAUCUUUGAAUGUGCAACAUGUCAAACCUUGAAGCAGAACACCCUGGUUGCAGCUUGUCUACUCCUGACAACUAAGAACAAGAAGCUCGAGGCAACAAUUUACAUAAACUCAUUAAAAUUGAACAAUAUAAGAAAAUGUUGCUUGGUCUGAUUCUACAUUUCAGCUGCAGCAAUCAGAUGCUAUAGUCAAAAUUUGGUGGAAACGGCAUGAAAGCAUGGAUCCAUCCUGCCUUGUAUCAAGAGUUUAGGCUAGUGGUGUAAUGUUGUAGGAGAUAUUUGAUCUCUUAUUAACAGACUGAGUAUGGUUUAUUUAAUAAUUUAUUUUUCCCUGAGCAAGGACCUUAACCUCCAACUGCUCCCAAGAUGUCGAAAUAGCCCACUUUCUAGUACAAAUCUACUAGAGAUGGGUAAAAUACAGAGCCUAAUUUCUCAAUAAGGAUUAAUAAAGUAAAAACUAUUAUGAUUCUUUUUAUUAUUCAUUAUCCUGCUGGCUACUUGCAUCAGGAUAAUGCACCAAGUUCAUUCAUUCUAUAGAACUUAAUCCAAUUCAAAGUUGCAGGACAGCUGGAGCCUAUCCCAACAAUUAGCAGGCGAGAGGCAAGGUACACUCUAGACAGGCUGCCAGUUUACCGCAUCAUGUGACAAAGCUAAAGUCAUGUCAAACUGGUUUCUUGAACAUGACACUGUACUCCAGUGUCCUCCACAUUCACUAGAUCUCAAUCCAAUAGAGCACCUUUGAAUAAGUUGGUAGAGCAAUGAAUAAUGGAUACAAAGUAAAGUGCUUUGGGUUCCUUGGAAAGCCCUAUACAAAUCUAAUCCAUUAUUUUAAGUGAUGCUAUUGUGUCAAUAUUGACCAAAAUCUGAGGAAAGUUUCUAACACCCUUUUAAAUCUACUCCAUGAAAAAGCAAGGCAGUUCUGAAAGCAAAAGUGACCCGACCCAGUACUUGCAAGGUUUACCUUUUUAUAAAGUGGCAGUAAGUGUUUAUGUGCAGAUUUAGGAAGACAAAGUGGCAACAGUGAAUUGCACAUAAUGUUGCAUCUUAUCAUAAUCCAUGCUAAUUUCAAAUCUCACUACAGUUGUACAUCUAAUGAGGCAUGUGGUAAUCAUUUAAUUGUAUUUUGCAUCUAUUUUGGAGACAUUGACCCUCAUUUAUCAAAUGAAUGUGGAAAUAAACAUAUAUUUAAUCGCAGGAAUGAUCCCACAGUUGGAUCUACGUGUGAUUCAUGAAACGUUUGUUUCUGACCAUUCCCAGCGUAUGAAUGAGCAGGCCUUAAUACAGCAGCUGAAAUCCAUCAUCAUUUACAUGUUAGGCCCUUAAAUACUCAUGGUCCGGAGACCUCGCCCAGUGAGGUCAAACCAUGGAGAGAAGAUGUUCUGCCCAAAAAAAAAAAAAAAAAACUUUUCGAAGGUUGAGAUCAAAACCCUCAAUUGUGUGUGGGGAAAAAAAAUAAAGAGGUACUAUUUGACAGCCUAAACACCGGGGUGAAAGCCAUGCACAAAAACGCUACAGAGGAUCACGGAGGCAGUUAAUAUCGUCGACGUUGGUGAACGGACUCCGGCUGAGGUAUGAACAAAAUUCUCAAGUAGUUUUUAUACGCCCAUGAUUGUUUUAGUACUUUUUUAUUUUAGUAAUAGCUCAUGCCUGGUAACUGAAAAUCCCAAUUGUUUACUUGUAGGUCAAGAAAGAGUGUGAGCCACAGCAGCACACUGUGACAGGUGAAGGCCAUCCAGACCCGAGCUUAACCCUGACGGGAACAGAAAACAAGAUUGCUUCCUCAGUCAGAGCCAUACACCAGCGGCAAGGCUUCUUAGUUCUCCCAGAGCGGUCCUACAGAGCCAGGACGCAGAGACCAUGCUCAUGUCCGUCCCCGUGCUGGGCCACAAAGACCAGCGCUCAUCACUGCAGAGUUUCUGGAAAGGCAGAUGUGCCGGUUAAUGGCAGCAGUGGUUCAUGCACGAAAAAUGUAAACGAUGUGGUAAAAGAGAUAAAUGAAAACCUAAGUGAAUAAAACUCAUUUAAACUGGUAAA